ensembl:snRNA U6 U6 spliceosomal RNA
UGGUGCUCACUUUGGCCUCCUAUAUGCUGAAAUUGGAAUGAUACAGAGAUUAGGAUGGCCCCUGCACAAGAAUGACAAAUUUGUGAAGAGUUCCAUAUUUUU